GAUGAACGCUGGCGGCGUGCCUAAUACAUGCAAGUCGAGCGAACAGACGAGGAGCUUUCUCCUCUGACGUUAGCGACGGACGUGUAAGUAACACGUGUAUAACCUACCUAUAAGACUGGGAUAACUUCGGGAAACCUAAUCUAAUACCGGAUAAUAUAUUGAACCUCAUGGUUCAAUAGUGAAAGACCGUUUUGCUGUCACUUAUAGAUAUAUCCGCGCCGCAUUAGCUAGUUGGUAAGGUAACGGCUUACCAAGGCAACGAUGCGUAGCCGACCUGAGAGGGUGAUCGGCCACACUGGAACUGAGACACGGUCCAGACUCCUACGGGAGGCAGCAGUGGGGAAUCUUCCGCAAUGGGCGAAAGCCUGAUGCAGCAACGCCGCGUGAGUGAUGAAGGUCUUCGGAUCGUAAAACUCUGUUAUUAGGGAAGAACAAAAGUGUAAGUAAACAUGCCCGUCUUGACGGUACCUAAUGAGAAAGCACCGGCUAACUACGUG
rnacentral:rRNA from 1 species